UGGGGAAUUUUGGACAAUGGGCGCAAGCCUGAUCCAGCCAUGCCGCGUGAGUGAAGAAGGCCUUCGGGUUGUACAGCUCUUUCAGACGGAAAGAAAUCGGUGCGUUUAAUACAUGCACUGGAUGACGGUACCGUAAGAAGAAGCACCGGCUAACUACGUGCCAGCAGCCGCGGUAAUACGUAGGGUGCGAGCGUUAAUCGGAAUUACUGGGCGUAAAGCGUGCGCAGGCGGUUAUGUAAGACAGAUGUGAAAUCCCCGGGCUCAACCUGGGAACUGCGUUUGUGACUGCAUAAAUAGAGUACGGCAGAGGGAGGUGGAAUUCCACGGGUAGCUGUGAAAUGCGUAGAGAUGUGGAGGAACACCGAUGGCGAAGGCAGCCUCCUGGGCCAGUACUGACGCUCAUGCACGAAAGCGUGGGGAGUAAACA
rnacentral:rRNA from 1 species